GUCCCAGGUGUGCUCAGGCAUGCCCAGGUGGGUGGCACACAGGUGUCCCCAGGUGUCCCCAGGUGUCCCAGGUGUGCCCAGGCAUGCCCAGGUGGGUGGCACACAGGUGUCCCCAGCUGUCCCCAGGUGUCCCAGGUGUGCCCAGGCAUGCCCAGGUGGGUGGCACACAGGUGUCCCCAGGUGUCCCCAGGUGUCCCAGGUGUGUCCAGGCGUGCCCAGGUGGGUGGCACACAGGUGUCCCCAGGUGUCCCAGGUGUUCCCAGGUGUCCCCAGGUGUGCCAGGUGUCACUCCCGGAUGCUGGCCGAGUAGGAGAACUGCGGGAAAUGCGUCCGGUGGUCGCACUCCGGAGAGUCCAGGAGCUCAC